ensembl:lncRNA
GAAACACGUGACCUCCACAGUAGGCAGAAAUACGUUCCUGCGUGGAUCAUCGACUGCGGAAAUCUUGCAAGUGGAUCGUAAAGAUGCUCAUAUCAAUUUGGAGUUCUGCCUCCAAGCCAGAAUUGCAGUAAUGCACCACGUGUUGGCUGUUUCACUGCCCUCUGUGCCCCACUUUCAGCCCUAUUGUCAGGAGCAUAUAAAUGGACACAUUAAAAAUGCUUUGCCUUUCAAAGACAAAAUGAUAUACCGGUGCACUUUCACUGCCCUGUCUGUAACAUGACAGUCAUACAGCGUGGGGAUAUGGCAAGGCAAUUAUUGUCAUGUCAGCAUUCAGGACUGCUCUUCGCUGCACUCUCCGAGGAGCCCCGCCUCUCUCCGCUGCAUUCUCCGUGGAGCCACAUCUCCCUCUCGAUGUCUUGUCUCCAGUAUCUAAACCAUUUUCUGAAUCUUUCGUAGAACAUUCAUGUGCUCUACCCUCUGUGCUAAAUGAAACUGUGGCUUGUGGAAAGUCCUUGAAAAUGAA